GAUGAACGCUAGCGGCAGGCUUAAUACAUGCAAGUCGUGGGGCAGCAUGAAUGUAGCAAUACAUUUGAUGGCGACCGGCAAACGGGUGCGGAACACGUACACAACCUUCCUAUAAGUGGGGAAUAGCCCAGAGAAAUUUGGAUUAAUACCCCGUAACAUAAUGAUAUGGCAUCAUAUUAUUAUUAUAGCUUCGGCGCUUAUUGAUGGGUGUGCGGCUGAUUAGAUAGUUGGCGGGGUAACGGCCCACCAAGUCUACGAUCAGUAGCUGAUGUGAGAGCAUGAUCAGCCACACGGGCACUGAGACACGGGCCCGACUCCUACGGGAGGCAGCAGUAAGGAAUAUUGGUCAAUGGACGCAAGUCUGAACCAGCCAUGCCGCGUGAAGGAUUAAGGUCCUCUGGAUUGUAAACUUCUUUUAUCUGGGACGAAAAAAGGCUUUUCUAAGUCACUUGACGGUACCAGAUGAAUAAGCACCGGCUAACUCCGUGCCAGCCGCCGCGGUAAAAC
rnacentral:rRNA from 1 species